ACGGAUCGACAGUAGAUCUUAGAGAGAAACAGGAGAACCUCGAGGCUUAGGGUUUCAGAGAAAACCCAAGAAAAUGAGAAGGCCUGGAACAGACUUGCUUUGAGUCAAAAAACGGACUCACAAAGCUAGAGAUCGCUGGGGGGAGGCCGAAAAUAGCUAUAAAACUCGAAUCGGAGGUCUUCUGAACUAGAGACCUUCAAGAUCUGGUUUUUAUCCUUGAAAGGAGGAGCCAUAUAAGGGAGUGGUGGGGGUGAUCAUAGGUUGUACAAGACUUGGGAAGCCAUAUUUUCCGGUAAGAUAAGCCGUCAAAUGGCCGGAGAUGGCUAAGGUUUGGAGAGGGAUUGAGAGAAUUUGAGGAUGAAGGGG
rnacentral:lncRNA from 1 species